UACGAAGGGAGCUAGCGUUGUUCGGAAUCACUGGGCGUAAAGCGCACGUAGGCGGAUGUGUCAGUCAGGGGUGAAAUCCCGGAGCUCAACUUCGGAACUGCCUUUGAUACAGCACGUCUUGAGUCCGAUAGAGGUGGGUGGAAUUCCUAGUGUAGAGGUGAAAUUCGUAGAUAUUAGGAAGAACACCGGUGGCGAAGGGCGGCCCACUGGAUCGGUACUGACGCUGAGGUGCGAAAGCGUGGGGAGCAAACAGG
rnacentral:rRNA from 1 species